AUUGAACGCUGGCGGCAUGCUUUACACAUGCAAGUCGAACGGUAACAGGUCUUUCGGGAUGCUGACGAGUGGCGAACGGGUGAGUAAUGUAUCGGAACGUGCCCAGUAGUGGGGGAUAACUACUCGAAAGAGUGGCUAAUACCGCAUGAGAUCUCUGGAUGAAAGCGGGGGACCGUAAGGCCUCGCGCUACUGGAGCGGCCGAUAUCAGAUUAGGUAGUUGGUAGGGUAAGAGCCUACCAAGCCAACGAUCUGUAGCUGGUCUGAGAGGACGACCAGCCACACUGGGACUGAGACACGGCCCAGACUCCUACGGGAGGCAGCAGUGGGGAAUUUUGGACAAUGGGCGCAAGCCUGAUCCAGCAAUGCCGCGUGCAGGACGAAGGCCUUCGGGUUGUAAACUGCUUUUGUACGGAACGAAAAGCUUCUGGUUAAUACCUGGGAGUCAUGACGGUACCGUAAGAAUAAGCACCGGCUAACUACGUG
rnacentral:rRNA from 1 species